rnacentral:rRNA from 1 species
AGCUCCAAUAGCGUAUAUUAAAGUUGUUGCAGUUAAAACGCUCGUAGUCGGACUUCUGUCAAGAUUCUAUACUCGCCUUUUGUGUGUUGUGCAGAAUCUUGACAUCCGUUCGUUGCAGCUUCGGCUGUUUCGGACUCUUUACUUUGAGAAAAAUAGAAUGUUUCAAGUAGGCACUCGCCUGAAUACUACAGCAUGGAAUAAUAAGAUAGGACUCUGGUUCCUUCUUGUUGGUUCUUAGAACUAGAGUAAUGGUUAAUAGGGACAGUCGGGGGCAUUCGUAUUCUACCGUUAGAGGUGAAAUUCUUGGAUCGGUUGAAGACGAACAACUGCGAAAGCAUCUGCCAAGAAUGUUCCCA